AGUGAACGCUGGCGGUAGGCCUAACACAUGCAAGUCGAACGGCAGCACAGUAAGAGCUUGCUCUUACGGGUGGCGAGUGGCGGACGGGUGAGGAAUACAUCGGAAUCUACUUUUUCGUGGGGGAUAACGUAGGGAAACUUACGCUAAUACCGCAUACGACCUACGGGUGAAAGCAGGGGAUCUUCGGACCUUGCGCGAUUGAAUGAGCCGAUGUCGGAUUAGCUAGUUGGCGGGGUAAAGGCCCACCAAGGCGACGAUCCGUAGCUGGUCUGAGAGGAUGAUCAGCCACACUGGAACUGAGACACGGUCCAGACUCCUACGGGAGGCAGCAGUGGGGAAUAUUGGACAAUGGGCGCAAGCCUGAUCCAGCCAUACCGCGUGGGUGAAGAAGGCCUUCGGGUUGUAAAGCCCUUUUGUCGGGAAAGAGAAGCAGCAGGUUAAUACCCCGCUGUUCUGACGGUACCCAAAGAAUAAGCACCGGCUAACUUCGUG
rnacentral:rRNA from 1 species